AGUGAACGCUGGCGGUAGGCCUAACACAUGCAAGUCGAACGGCAGCACAGUAAGAGCUUGCUCUUACGGGUGGCGAGUGGCGGACGGGUGAGGAAUACAUCGGAAUCUACUUUUUCGUGGGGGAUAACGUAGGGAAACUUACGCUAAUACCGCAUACGACCUACGGGUGAAAGCAGGGGAUCUUCGGACCUUGCGCGAUUGAAUGAGCCGAUGUCGGAUUAGCUAGUUGGCGGGGUAAAGGCCCACCAAGGCGACGAUCCGUAGCUGGUCUGAGAGGAGGAUCAGCCAAACUGGAACUGAGACACGGUCCAGACUCCUACGGGAGGCAGCAGUGGGGAAUAUUGGACAAUGGGGGCAAGCCUGAUCCAGCCAUACCGCGUGGGUGAAGAAGGCCUUCGGGUUGUAAAGCCCUUUUGUUGGGAAAGAAAAGCAGCAGGUUAAUACCCCGCUGUUCUGACGGUACCCAAAGAAUAAGCACCGGCUAACUUCGUG
rnacentral:rRNA from 1 species